AGCCCGGUGCCUUUCCUGGUAUUUGAUGGGAGAUCGACCGUGUUAUAUUCGCUUCCUUGACUUCGAAUAAUACAUGGUUGAUCUUUUCUCAGUACCAAAUCUCACCUUGGAGGACC
rnacentral:precursor_RNA from 13 species